UACGCCAAGAAAUCUCUUAUUACUACGAAAAUAAUAUAGCGGCGUUGUCACCAUCAUUGUCUCUUCAUCGUUCUACAAAACGUUAUAAUAUCGUAGUUCUAUUGCAAAUAUAACCGUGACCAUUACGGAUCUCUUUUCAGUGACUACACAUGCUUAAAGACCAGCGGACAUUAAUGAUCCAAAUCUUUUCUCGAGUUAUAUUGUUCAGCCAAUAUUCAUGUUCACGAUAAAUUCUUGUUAAUUUAAUUAUUUUGAUAAAAUGAUAAAAUCCGAAAAUCCUUAAAUAUCAAUAUCGUCGUUAGUGAAGUGCAAAGAUCCAAUUUAUAUUACAAAUAUAUAAUUGAAAAUCGCACAAAUAUAAGAAUUAAAAGGGAUAACAAGAAAAAAAAAACAAGAAGAACGACGUUGAUAGGUCCAGUUAAUGUAUUCAAGUGAAGCAACGAACGGAAAUGAAAAGUAAUCCUGAAUUCGUUGCAAAGUGACGACAUAAAAGUAUGCGUAAGUGCUCGAAUUAAUAUUUCAAUGACUCGAAUGAAAGAAUAGAAAUACGCGCGUAAUAAUGCACGCGGCAAAGAGAAAGAAAGAAAAAAGAAAGAAAGACAAAGGAAGAUGUCUCAUCGGAUAUUCAAAUGAUUUAGUUGUACUUAUAUCGAAGUAACAAAUUGAAAAUAAACCUUAUGCGUAUAAUAAGAAAAAAAAUUCUAAAUAAUCGUUACAGUCUAUAUAUAUACAUAUAAAAACAACCAAGAUGAUUUUGAGAUCGGUCAAAUUUCCGAUAUGUAAAAGAAAUAUAAUAGACGAAUUCGUUGAAAGACGAAUUAAUUCGAAUAUAUCCAACUAGAAAACUUUUUUUAUAGAAAUGAUCGUUAUCAUCUAAUGUCCUCGUACAAAGGAUUCCUAAUACAAAUAUUCAUAUAUAUAUAUAUAUAUAUAUAUAUAUAUAUAUAUAUAUAUAUAUAUAUAUAUAUAUACGAAUAAUAUACACAUAUAUAUAAAUAUCUCACAUAUAUAUGUGUCUACGUUUCUUAACAGAGAUUAAAUAACAAAGAGCUUUAGUAAACAUGGUCAUAAACUCAUCUUAUUUCAAAUAGAUUAUAAACACGCACGAUCAAAAACAAAGUCAAAGUUCAUUUCGCGAAUAACGUACUCGUGCUUUAUUAUUCUAAACGUUCCUUUGAUUUCCAUACGUAAAUAAUUUGAAACUGGAACGAAACAUUAGAAAUAAAUUUAGUAGAAUUUUGAAUUUUUUUAAAUGAAAUUCAUUCGGUCGACUUGAUCGGCACACUUUUCGUGCCAAGGUUCGAAAAGAAAAAUGGAGACAAAAAAAUGGAAAAGAGUAGAAAGUACACACGCUGUUUCUUCGUAAUGUAUGCUACUCCUUUUAAAAAGUAAAAAUCUUCGUGAUGUAGAAAUUUUUGAUCGAAGGAUCUAAUGUUAAAAUCUUUCUCUCUCUCUCUCUCUUUCUUUUGUUCUCCUUCUUUUCCUUCUUCUUCCUUGACACGAAAAUACAUAUACAAUAGCAGAACAACCAAAGGUCAUGAAAUAUUCCUUUAAUAAGCACAACAAUAGUUUAGGCUUCUGCAUUUGAAAUACGCAGAUCUUUACUGAUCUUUCCUCUUUCGGCUUCUCUUCUCUUUACUUUAUGUUUUGAAGAUUGAAACUUGACAAACUAAUUUCUAAAAUAUAAUACAAAAUUUUUUUACAAAUUGAAUUUACUUUACAAAUUGCUGGCUCCAUUUUCUAACAUAUUUAGAAUCCAUUUGUAGGGCUAACAAUCUUUAAGAAUUUGUAGGCUCGUUCAUAUUCAUUGUUAAUAAUUUCUUUUCCCAACUUCCACAUCCUCUGUAAACUUUUCACGAAUUGUUUCCACUCUGAGUAAGAAAAAAUAGGUUAAAAACGAAUUGUAUUACUUCAUAAAUACUUAACAAUACAUAGACCUUUCCUAUCUUCUAACCAUACCAUAUUUACUAUACUUUACUGCUUACUUAUUUUUUCCUUUCUAUUCUUCUGUAUAUUUUCUCCAUUAAUUUUACGUUUCAUUUUUUAGCCAUCCUUAAAAUAAGUUUCUUUCGAUGGAUUUUUUUCAUGACCUUUGCUAUGUAAGAAAAAAUAUUAUUAAAAUAUAUAUUAAAGAAUUUCAUAUAAAAAAUUUCAUAAUAAUGAUUUAAUAUAUAAUUUAAUAUAACUUGGUUCGAAUGAUUUACAUUCACAAAAGAAAAAAUCCAAAUAGAAAUAAUAUCAAAAGAAUAAAAUUAACAAAUAUUCUCUCCAAUUAAAAAAUUUUAAACAGGAUUAUUACAAUAAGAGUGAUAAAUCAUUUUUUAAUCCUAAAAAUCUUUAUGGGGAUUCAUUUUUUCUUAUCUAUUUGUCCGUACAAAUAACCACUGGUAUUAAAGAAACACCUGGGAUUAAGAAAACCGAUGGUGAAAAGACGAGAAAGCUACGAUAAAUCGAAAGAAAGUCAUUUCUUUUUUCCACAUUAAUAAAUAACUAAUUAUUUCCAUUGCGUCUUAAUAACUUUCUAGGAGGUCAUAUUGUCAUUAGCGUGUAAUACAUCACACGUAAUUCAUCGCAUCGUAAUACAAAAAUGUUGUUUCACGUAAAUGUAAACGCAUAAACAUCUUUGCAAUCUUCUUUAAUAUCGCAAUCGCGUUUUAAUAACUCGAUGUGUUUCUACAGUUGAUUAACGAAAGUUUCCGAUGAACUAGGAGUACAGGAAUAUGGAUGUUAGGUGACUUGAUCUUGAUACCAUAAAAUAUUUCAACAGUGAAAAUUCUUCAAUCUUGUCUUAACGUAAUCGUGAUCGAUUAAAGGGAAACGUAUUUAUAGGAAAUUUAACAUUUGAAAAAACAAAAAUUUCUUCGUAAUUCUAUAUACCUGCUAUUAAUACUACUACGAAUUAUAAUUGCUAAUCCUAAGAAUUAUAGCUACAAAUACAUUUUCCUGGAAAUUGAUGUAUUUCUGAUAGAAAAGAACAUGAAAAUUAAACAGUACAGAAAAUUAUUAAUUUAGAAAUUAUUCGAGCAAUCCAUAGACAUACACAAUAUCGUCAUAAUAAAUAAUAUCAUUAGCAUAAUAUCGCAAUAAAAUGCUUGGUCGGAGAGACGGAAUUAGUACAAAAUAUUAAAAACUCAAGCACAUUAAGUUAUAUAAAUAAAAAAUAUGCUCCCUAGUUCGGUGAAAAGUAAAAAAAAAGAUAAAUAAAAGAAAUAAUAAUUUAUUGUCAGAACAUAUUAUAAAAAGUCUUAAUUUUGUAUGCCAGUUUUUACAACUUUAAAUUUAAAUUUAUUUCAAACGAUUAAUAAUAACAUACAUUGUCUUUAUGAUAGUUCCUAUUCUAUUAACUAUCAUUCUACAUAUUAGCUGAAAUCACUCGUGACUAGACAGAAUAACCGUCAAGUUAUUUCCACGAAUUCGAGAGGCAUAACAAAUAUAAUGUUAAAAAACAUGGAAAAAUUAUUUCUUUAUAAAAAUUUGUUUUCUUUUUUCAUUUUCAUAAUUUUAUAAUUCAAUAUAUACAGUAUACUAUUUAAACGAAUAUAAUAGUACGUGUAAUAAUAAUUUGAGGGAGUAAAGUAUUUUAAGAAAGUACUUUAAUUUAUCUAUAUGUUUAAAAGGAAUACACACUAUCGGUAGAUUUAUAUUUACAUUCAUUAGAAAUGUAUUUAUAUAACAUUGCCAGACUUUAUAUUACAAUAUGAACAAAUAAUGUAUCACCAUUUAACUUAAUCGCAAAUUUCGGAAACGACCACCUGAAAUAUGAUGGACAUUGAUAUUGAGGACGAUCUUUAUAUUAGUUUUUUAAAUGAUCCUUCGAUUGAGGAUCUUCUGAUUCUCCACAUGAUGAACUUCCAAGCGGUAUACCAAAAUACGGAGGGCAUUUUACUCGACUUUAUAAAAUUCAUUUAGAAAAUUUUGAUGAAAUUUCUUCAUCGAAUGUAUCUUCUGAGAAAAUUUAUCAACGAUCAAAUUUAUAUGCUUUGCCUAUUCUUCAGCUAGUACAAUUUAUUCUCGUUAGAGAAGGAGAAUUUUUUUCGGUCGGAUGAUCAUUCUAUCCUUCCUAAGGAUGAUGAGAACCAGCAAUUACUUAGAUUCAACAGAACCAACGAAUUUCUAUUAGGAAAUGUUCUAUAUGGAAAAUCAGUAAGAUAGGAAAAUCAGUAGAGAUAGGAGUAUUGUAUACUAUCUUCUAUAAUAUUUAAACCGUUAAUCAAUUGACUGCAAUAUUAACCAUGACAAGCGCCAUAUUAAUAAGUGAAGGGUGGAUAGCCAUUAUUAAAACGAAAAUAAGAUUCUUCGAAGAGAAUCAUCGAGAAGGAAUCGUUGUUUUCUGCAUUGCGUUUAUCGAUUCGACGUUCGACGUUCUAAUUUCUUCUUGAUUAUUCUCUACUGUCGAUCUUUUUCUUGAUCCACGUUUUGUGCAAUACUGUGAUCAACAAUAGAUUUGUUGAAUUCUGGACAUUCGAUAUCAUCAACGUUAAGUGAGUAUAUUUUCUUAAAUGUAAUUUGAGUGAUAAUAUUGCAUUAUAUAGUAAGUGAGCUAAUUUAUACUACUGAAUAUUUAGUGAAAUUUUGAAUGGCUAUUUAACAUUGUAUUGUAUAUGUGAAAAUAAAAACAUUCGUCAUAUUAGAAUGGUUUAUAACCAAAAUGAUUUGUUAAAUAAUAUUCAAAAUGGUGCUGAAUAAUCUAUUACGAAUUUAUAAUUGGGAUCCGUAAGUGGUUUGUCAUCUUUUAUAUCGACGAUGUUACAAAAUUCUUUAUAGUUACAGCAAUGAGUUUGGCAUUCUUUGUAUCGAAAUGUUUUUCCUCUUCGCUGGGAAUUUAUAUCGAUGGUAGAAAUUUAUGGUAAUUGGCAGUAAUUGGCGAUUUAUUUUCCUGAACUAUGUAAAGUAGUAUCGUUUCGUUCUUAAAAUAUUUCUGGAAUUCUUUUAAUGUCUCUGUCUACGCCAAUACUUUGAUUAUCGAAAUUGUUGUUAUAAUAAUUAAAUAUGCUCGAGAAUACUCGCUCUACAAAAACAAUAACCAGUUUAAAAUCUAUUAUUUAUCUAUUAAACUAUCGCGUAAUGAAAACAUGCAUUAAAUAAGUAAAAUUUGUAUACUAAUAUAAUAUUAUUUUUAUUAUUUGUCUAAUAAUUAAAAUAGUUAAUUUCGUUAAUAUUAGUUUAUAUAGGUUUUCUCAUAAAACAAUGUCUUUCAACGUACCCGAUUAAAUUCACUAUGGCACAAAUUAGAUAUGGAAAUUUUAUGCAUUAUUCCAGAUAGACAUGGAUUUAUGACAGUAAUCAUCAUUCCUUUUAAGAUCGUCAAUUGGUUUAAAUUCGGUGAAUAAUAUCGAUAAGUUAUAUUCAUUAAAAAGAAUUAUUCAUUGUGCGUUAUGAAGAGUAUUGUUAGAAUUUAUAUUAUUUGGAUUCUCUUGGGAAAGGUUUCGAGUUAAUGAACUUCGUUAGACUACGCCUACCAUAAAAAGAAUGAAAACAUCGUUUGCAUAUCGAGACGAUAUAAUGAACGACGCUAAAUAUGACUAUAGUCUGGAAAAUUACAGUAAUUAAUUCUAUUGGAUUAUAAUAUAGACAACUGUGGUAAAAGUAGUUCAGAUCGUAUAGUGUUUUAUCUGAGUAAGUUUAAGAAGAAAAAUAAAAUGCUCGCGGAAACUUGUUAUACAACUUAUAACUAAGAAUUAUAGCUACAAAUGCUUUAUUCGGUGAUAUCAUUUCCGACAAAAAAGAACAUGAAAAUUAAACAGUACAGAAAAUUGUUAGUAUAAAAAUUACUAGAACAGUUCAUAGACAUAGCACAAUCUCGUCAUGAUUUAUAAUAUCAUUAGCAUAAUAUUGUAAUGAUUAAAAAUAUUUACUGAGAAGGACGAGGUUAGUACAUAAUAUUAAAAGCACACGUACAUUACUUUAUAUAGAUAUUUUUAAAAUAGUGUUUCGUAUAAUCUGAUUGGUGAUAUUAUGGUUCUGUAAUUGAUAAUCUUCUAAGCGAUCUUCCAAGAUACAAAGAGAAUUGGAGUCGAUCUUAUAAAAUUCGUUUAGAAAAUGCUGAUAUUUCUUCUUUGAAUGUAUUCUCCGAAAAAACUUAUCGUCGAUCAUUUAUAUGCCUUCCCUGUUUAGCAUAAUACCAGUUGCUUUUGUUGAUUUAGCUAAACUUUUUCACGAGCAAAUGAUCAUCGUUCCAAGGAAGAUGAGAAAUUACGUAGAUUCAAUGGUACAUUUCUUAUAUUUUUUUUUUCUAAUGGGAAAUGUUCUAGGAUAAGAAGGUUCAGAACAGAUUAAACUAUACAUACAAUGAUCUGUAAUUUUUAAUCCAUUGCUAAACCAUUAAUUAUAAUAAUUAAUCAAAAUAAUUAAUCAGCUAUAUUAAUAAGUAAGAGUCAGAUAGACAUUAUGAUAACGAUUAUUAGAUUUUUAGAAGAGAAUCAUCUCGAAGGAGUUAUCGUUUUCUGCAUCGUGUUUUUGUUCAAUGUUCUUUCUCAACUAUUUUUGUGCUAUACUAUAAUCAGGAACAGAUUUAAUAAACGGUCAAUAUCAUCACCGACAAAUGAGUAUAUUAUAAUUUUAGUGAUAAUAUUCCAUUAUAUAGUAAUUCUCAGUAUGUCUAUACCGACAAAUAUUUAAUGAGAUUUCAAAUGACUAUUUAGCAUUGAAUUGUUUACGCAUUAAUAAGAACAUUUGAUUAUUCGGUUUUGAACCGAAAUAAUUUUUUAAAUAAUAUUUCAAAUGGUUCUAAAUAAUUUAUUACGAAUCUAUAAUUAGGAUCCGUAAGUGGUUUGUCAUCUUUUGUAUCGAUUAUAUUACAAAAUUCCUUAUAGUUACAGCAUUGAGUUUGGCAUUAUUUGUUUCGAAAUGUUUUUACUCUUCCUUGGGAAUUUAUGUCGAUGGUAAUAGAAAUUUACGGUAAUUGGUAGUAAUUGGAGAUUUAUUUUCCUGAAUUAGGCAAAGAACUAUCGUUACAGACAUUUCUGUCUCUGUCCAUUCCAAUAUUUUGAUUAUCGAAAUUGUUGUUAUAAUAAUUAGAUAUGCUCGAGAAUACUUGCUCUACAAAAAAAAUAGCCUAUUUGAAACCUAUUAUUUACUUAUUAAACCUAACUCUUAAUGAAAACAUGUAUUAAAUAAAUAAAACUUUUAUGCUAGUAUAAUAUUAUUAUCAUUUAAUAAUGAAUUAAAUUAAUUAAAAAUUUAUUAAAAUAAUUAAUUCCAUUAAUAUUAGUUUAUAUAGUUUCUCUCAUAAAAUAAUAUCUUUCAACAUAUCCGUUUAAAUACUCUGCGUCAAAAAUUGAACAGAGAAAAAUGUAUCCAUUAUUCCUGAUAGAUUUUUGUAAUAUUAUUCAAAUCCAUUAAAGAUCAUCAAUUUGUUUAAAUUUGGUGAAUAAUAUGGAUAAGUUAAUAUUCAUUUAAAAAAUCAUUUAUUGUGCGUUUUCGAAUAGUGUGUUAGAAUGUAUAUUAUUUGGAUGCUGUUGAGUAUGAUUUCAAAAUAAUAAACUGUAAUUUGUAUCUGAGACAGUUCCGAUCAUAAGAAAUAUCAUAAUAAUUACUAGCAUAUCCAUCCAAUAAUAUUCGAGAAUCGUUGUAUUCAUCUCCUAAUCAUACUUUUCUCUGAAAAAAGUGAAAAAAGAAUCAGUUAUUUUUUUUUCGAUGAUCCAGAAAAUUCCAUUGAAGAUAGAAAAGCGACAUUUUAUAGAUUGAAAAAGAGAAAAUAUUGCGAACGAUAGAACACGAGGAAGAUUGAGAGAGUGAGAAGAGUAUCUACUUAUGUAUAUAUGUGUGAAAAUAGGUAUACAUGAAAGCUUACUAACACGGGACAAUAAUUUAAGAAAUGAAGAAAAAAUAGAAAAUGAGAGAUUCUUACGAUUACUACAGUUCUAUCAGUAUUAUUCCGAGUAUGGUUGAAGGAUAGUGGGAAUAUUAUUGCUCUUUUUCAAUUUAUUGCUACUAAUUUUGAAGGAACAUUGUUGAAAAAUUUUAGUAGUUUGAAAGGGCAUUGUUGAAAAAUUUUUUAAAUAAUAUCUAGGAAAAAAAUAUUCUUAAUCGAAUAGCUACACUCUACAUAUUGAAAUCUUAUAUUAGAAGUACAAAUAUGUUAAAUCAAAUACGAAAAAGGAUAGUUUGAACAACUUGAAGGUUAAAUCUAUUGCCGAUGAUAUAUAAGCUAUAAGUAAACCUACAGUUACCAUAAGCUUUGUAUACCUCUUUUUUCUAUUGGUUAGAAAUAUCAAAGAAAAAAAAAGAAAAA